UAUUCACAAACAACUGUUUAUUCUUAAUAAAUAAAAAUAUUUAAAAAGCUCUUUUCACAAGUUAUUCACAUUAUCAAAUAGAAGGGAAGAAGUGUAAUACCAUAUUAACAAAGUGUGUUACAAAGCUGCAGGUGAACCCAUUUAUCAGAAUUGCAGUGGCAAGGACUCUGUGUUGUGCCUGGUCUGUACUAAAUCUGAACACCAUGUGACAAGCAACUUCAGGGUUCCGGGUUCAAUGGAAGAUCCCCCCAUGAUGCUCUUUGUUUAGUCCAGCAUUGUUGGAGAGCAAGAGGUUUUUCUAAUUACGGGUAAAUGGGUGCUACAUUUGUUAGGUGGCAGAGGAGACUCAUUUGGGUGCUCUGUGUUGGUCAUUUUAUUGUGUCUGGUGCUUUGACAGAAUGGCUAUUUUAUGAAACAAGCAGUCUUGCCCAGCAGAAAAGGCCUUGAAGAUGUGGGAAAGAGAGCUGAGCUGCAUUACAGCACAGUUAUAUCAUCUCCCCAAACUAGCACCAGGGACCCAAGCCCUCCCCCUAAAGGUAAGCUGUGGAAUUGGGCAUUACCUAACAGCACUGAGAGCUUGCACACUCCUUGUUACCAGCAAUGACUUCCAUUUAAAAAUAAAAAUCCCCAUUCACCAUGUGCAUUACAUUUUUUCAUAAAUUUGUCCAGGAAGACUGCAGCAAAAUGCAGCAUGGUACAGGCUUUAUUCUUAUACAAGCUCAACGGAGGAAAAUGUGACAAAUAGCAAGCAGAGGCGGGAGAGGAGUGAUUUAACCAUUUCAUUGCGAGAUGCCAUGUAUGUGGACAGCCAACUGGCUACAAUGUAUAGGUAUACACAAAAAUGAGGAUGCAGCUGUGGAUCUGCAAAAAAAUAUGGAACAAAUAAUAGCGUUACACUGUAUAACGGUACAAAUGCGCUGUAUUAGAUAUAACUCACAGGAUGGAUGAAUGAAUUAAUGACGCCCAAGGGUGCCUCCCCUGAUGUAGGUGGGGAGCAAAAUCACUGCUUCUGCCCCCAGGAAAACAGAGUUGGACUCAAGAUAUGGAGUAAACAAAUUCCUUCUUUAUUUAAAAAUAUAAAAGAUAAAUAUAUGUACAAGCUGUUAUGGUACCAGGUCCUACGCGUUUCGUCCAAAUGGACGUCUUCAGGGACCUCCUGGUAUUCGAGUGUGUAACGGCAGUUAGAAAUACAGAUAUACAAUAAAAAGUAAGCAGUUUUUACUUUUUAUUGUAUAUCUGUAUUUGUAACUGCCGUUACACACUCAAAUACCAGGAGGUCCCUGAAGAAGUCAAUUUGGACGAAACGCGUAGGACCUGGUACCAUAACAGCUUGUACAUAUAUUUAUCUUUUAUAUUUUUAAAUAAAGAAGGAAUUUGUUUACUCCAUAUCC